AGGGAGGGGGCGACCAUCUGACCGGAGCCGGCGGACGGCAUUCACACACCGGCAGGGAACGGAUGAGGCAAGUGUUUGUUUUUUCUUCUCCUUUUUUUUCUUUCUUUCUAAGCAUCGCUUCGUGUUUUGUUGCGUUUUUAUACACCGCGUUGUUAGUAAGUUAAACGGCGCAGUGCGCGCCGCGCGCGUCGUCUCUGCGCAGGAUCCUGCAGAAUUAAAAGAUUGGCCCAUUUAGCGUUUGAGAUAUUUUGCUAUUGACUCCGUGUGAGGAGACCAGUGGACUCGACCAGGUGUCCAUCAAGGACGCUUCAUUCGGGACUGAAAUAUCGCAACAGCUUGAUGGAUUUGUGCAAACAUUCAUGGUCCCCACAGGAUGAAUCUCGCUCAUUUGGUGAUUCCCAACUCUUCAUCAAGUCUGAAUGGUGAUUUGAUAUUUUAGGUCACGUCCUGCAGAACAGAAUCCCGCUCAGCGGUAUAGUUGUUGAUAAUAAGCUACAGACUAAGUCCAAAAUAGCCACACGGUGAACCAGAAGAAGCAUCGACUUGAAGACGUCACAUUUUACAUUUGGUGUCCCAUUGAUGUCAGUCGGGGCUGAAGUGAUUCAGAAAUCAGCGGGAAUUUAUAAAGGUUUUCUUUUUCUCAUCUUAAGUUUGGUAGUCAAACCUUUGAGGCAACAUGGAUGUAAAAACGUUACCGCGUGAAAGCCCGUUAAUCUUUAUAAAACAAGCAGUUUAAAAGAGUCCAAGGACACGAGCAGGAGAUCUCCUUACUGGUGAAAGUAGUUGAUUUGAGUGAAAUGUGACGACGGACGUUCUGAACCUGCAGAGGAGACGGGGGCCCUGCUGAGGCCCUCAGAGCGUCCUUGAAUCCCCGCGAGUUGGAGGCCCGGGCCGGGAGGUCGGCCUGAAACUGGUGCCUGGCUUCCGUUUCUCACACGGACAUUAGAAGACUUUUCAACUUCAUGGUUUUGAAUACUAAUCUCGAAAACCGCGCAGGACAAAAUGUACGGCAUCCAAAGACUGCGCCAACAUUGGAUUUUCU
ensembl:lncRNA